UACGAAGGGGGCUAGCGUUGCUCGGAAUCACUGGGCGUAAAGCGCACGUAGGCGGCUUUUUAAGUCAGGGGUGAAAUCCUGGAGCUCAACUCCAGAACUGCCUUUGAUACUGGGAAGCUUGAGUCCGGGAGAGGUGAGUGGAACUCCGAGUGUAGAGGUGAAAUUCGUAGAUAUUCGGAAGAACACCAGUGGCGAAGGCGGCUCACUGGCCCGGUACUGACGCUGAACCGCGAAAGCCAGGGGAGCGAACGGG
rnacentral:rRNA from 1 species